AAAAAAGAGAGAGAUGGGAAUAUUAAAGGAAAGACUUACAAGUGCCAUGAUGAACUUCUUUGGCAAAGAAAAGGGCAGCUCUUCUAGUCUCAAAUAUAGCCAAGCAGAGAGGGUGGCUGGGAAGGAGAAGAUAUGGAGAUAGUUUCUUGGACCUUCUUAGCUAAAGGUUUUUCCGGGGGGAUAAACACA